rnacentral:rRNA from 1 species
AUUGAACGCUGGCGGCAUGCCUUACACAUGCAAGUCGAACGGCAGCACGGGGGCAACCCUGGUGGCGAGUGGCGAACGGGUGAGUAACAUAUCGGAACAUACCCUAGAGUGGGGGAUAACGUAGCGAAAGUUACGCUAAUACCGCAUACGAUCUAAGGAUGAAAGUGGGGGAUCUUCGGACCUCAUGCUCAUGGAGUGGCCGAUAUCUGAUUAGCUAGUUGGUGAGGUAAAGGCUCACCAAGGCGACGAUCAGUAGCUGGUUUGAGAGAACGACCAGCCACACUGGAACUGAGACACGGUCCAGACUCCUACGGGAGGCAGCAGUGGGGAAUAUUGCGCAAUGGGCGAAAGCCUGACGCAGCCACGCCGCGUGAGCGAUGAAGGUCUUCGGAUCGUAAAGCUCUGUGGGGGGGAGAAGAAGAAAGCCGGUGAAGAGUCGGCCCUGACGGUAUCCCCUUAGCAAGCACCGGCUAACUCCGUGCCAGCAGCCGCGGUAA